UACGUAGGGGGCAAGCGUUGUCCGGAGUUAUUGGGCGUAAAGCGCGUGUAGGCGGCUUUGCAAGUCGGGUGUGAAAGCCCUCAGCUCAACUGAGGAAGUGCGCCCGAAACUGCAGAGCUUGAGUGCCGGAGAGGGUGGCGGAAUUCCCCAAGUAGAGGUGAAAUUCGUAGAUAUGGGGGAGGAACACCGGUGCGAAGGCGGCCACCUGGACGGUAACUGACGCUGAGACGCGAAGCGUGGGGAGCAAACAGG
rnacentral:rRNA from 1 species